rnacentral:rRNA from 1 species
AUGUUGCAAGCACUUCAUGCUAGUGGUAUUGGUGCCCACUCUGGCAUUACUGCUACUUAUCACCGCAUCAAGGCACCAUUUGCUUGGACAGGAAUCUUUCAAUCAGUGGAAUCUUUUGUGAUCAAGUGUCAAAUCUGUCAGCAAGCUAAGGUAGAACAUUACAAACUCUCUGGCCCCUUUGAUCCUCUACCCAUACCUGAUGAAGCAUGGUCCAUUAUCAGCAUUGACUUCAUCACUGGAUUACCAAAGUCACAUUACUAUGAUUCAAUUCAGGUGGUGCAUGAGACAACCCAAACAAACAGAAAUAGAAUUAAUACCCAAAAACACAAGCUGUGGGCCGUAAAGUGGAAACGGUUGCAGGCCAAAGCUGUCCCCCUUUGCCACUAA